rnacentral:rRNA from 2 species
UUGACCUCAAAUCGGGUGAGACUACCCGCUGAACUUAAGCAUAUCAAUAAGCGGAGGAAAAGAAACUAACAAGGAUUCCCCUAGUAACUGCGAGUGAAGCGGGAAAAGCUCAAAUUUAAAAUCUGGUGGUCUUUGGCCAUCCGAGUUGUAAUUUAGAGAAGCGUCUUCCGCGCUGGACCGUGCACAAGUCUCCUGGAAUGGAGCGUCAUAGAGGGUGAGAAUCCCGUCUUUGGCAUGGACACACCAGGGCUUUUGUGAUGCGCUCUCGAAGAGUCGAGUUGUUUGGGAAUGCAGCUCAAAAUGGGUGGUGAACUCCAUCUAAAGCUAAAUAUUGGCGAGAGACCGAUAGCGAACAAGUACCGUGAGGGAAAGAUGAAAAGCACUUUGGAAAGAGAGUGAAACAGUACGUGAAAUUGUUGAAAGGGAAACGCUUGAAGUCAGUCACGUCGACCGAGACUCAACCUUGCCUCGGCUUGGUGUACUUCUCGGCUGACGGGUCAGCAUCAAUUUUGCCCCUUGGAUAAUGACGAGGGAAAUGUGACACCUUUAUGGUGUGUUAUAGUCUCUCGUCGCAUGC